rnacentral:sRNA from 1 species
UUGAGUUCUGUGUUCUCCCUGCGCGUGUCCCGCCCGACUCGCGCCCGCGAUGCUGGCGCUGCGCUGCGGCUCCCGCUGGCUCGGCCUGCUCUCCGUCCCGCGCUCCGUGCCGCUGCGCCUCCCCGCGGCCCGCGCCUGCAGCAAGGGCGCCGGCGACCCGUCCUCUUCCUCCUCCUCCGGGAACCCGCUCGUGUACCUGGACGUGGACGCCAACGGGAAGCCGCUCGGCCGCGUGGUGCUGGAGUUGAAGGCAGAUGUCGUCCCAAAGACAGCUGAGAACUUCAGAGCCCUGUGCACUGGUGAGAAGGGCUUCGGCUACAAAGGCUCCACCUUCCACAGGGUGAUCCCUUCCUUCAUGUGCCAGGUAAUGUAGUUUCCUCUUCUGUAAGGGGGGAUGAGAGCAGGAGCUGCCUUGUGGGUGUGUGAAGAUGCCUGGUAUGAGGAAGGUGCUGAGCAGAGCAGCUGCAGUUGCUCUGUCAGCCAGGCUGCCCUCCCUGCAUUAGCCCUGUAUCCAGGCUUCACUGCACAUGGAAGCUCAGCCCCAACCCGCUGCCACUCCAGGCCAGUGGCAGGACCUGCCCGGGGGACUGGGAGGUGGAGUCUAUCAAGAGAGAGCUGGGUUGGGAGAUGGAUGUGCUGGGGGUGG